rnacentral:lncRNA from 1 species
GAGGUGGAGGAAGCGGAGGCUGCGCUGAGGAAUGAAAACGCAAUGCAUCACAAUCAUCCUAGUCUCGAGAUACACUGAUGAAGAUAAAAGGUGCUCCAAGCUCCAGCUGUGCUUUCUUGCUUCUCUUUCUUCUAACCUUAAUUUCCUCUGCAGAGGAUGGCCUGGAGAACAGAUUUUGUAGUCCGGAGUCAGGACAGCUUGCCACAUUUGCAGAAAUUAAAAUGCUUGCCGAUGGACAGUGAUAUUUAAUGCAUGUAAUUUUCAUAAAUCCUUCCUCGUUCUGCCAGUACAUUUCCUCAAUAGUCAUGCAACUGGUGUUCAUGUUUA